rnacentral:rRNA from 1 species
UACGUAGGGAGCGAGCGUUGUCCGGAUUCAUUGGGCGUAAAGAGCUCGUAGGCGGCUUGGUAAGUCGGAUGUGAAACCUCCAGGCUCAACCUGGAGUCGCCAUCCGAUACUGCCAUGGCUAGAGUCCGGUAGGGGCCCACGGAAUUCCUGGUGUAGCGGUGAAAUGCGCAGAUAUCAAGUGGAACACCAGUGGCGAAGGCGAGUCUCUGGACAUUUCCUGACGCUGAGGCACGAAAGCCAGGGGAGCAAACGGG